CACCGCGGUUAUACGAGAGGCUCAAGUUGAUAAACACCGGCGUAAAAUGUGGUUAACAUAUUGCUACACUAAAGCUAAACAUCUUCAAAGCUGUUAUACCCACACGAAGACAGGAAAACCUUCUACGAAAGUGGCUUUAAAUUAGUGCUAAUCCACGAAAACUAGGAAA
rnacentral:rRNA from 1 species